rnacentral:rRNA from 1 species
GAUGAACGCUGGCGGCGUGCCUAAUACAUGCAAGUCGAGCGAACAGACGAGGAGCUUGCUCCUCUGACGUUAGCGGCGGACGGGUGAGUAACACGUGGAUAACCUACCUAUAAGACUGGGAUAACUUCGGGAAACCGGAGCUAAUACCGGAUAAUAUAUUGAACCGCAUGGUGCAAUAGUGAAAGACGGUUUUGCUGUCACUUAUAGAUGGAUCCGCGCCGCAUUAGCUAGUUGGUAAGGUAACGGCUUACCAAGGCAACGAUGCGUAGCCGACCUGAGAGGGUGAUCGGCCACACUGGAACUGAGACACGGUCCAGACUCCUACGGGAGGCAGCAGUAGGGAAUCUUCCGCAAUGGGCGAAAGCUUGACGGAGCAACGCCGCGUGAGUGAUGAAGGUCUUCGGAUCGUAAAACUCUGUUAUUAGGGAAGAACAAAUGUGUAAGUAACUAUGCACGUCUUGACGGUACCUGAUCAGAAAGCCACGGCUAACUACGUG